rnacentral:rRNA from 1 species
AGGGAAAGAGGGAGGGAGGAGGUACACAGGCAAGUCGAACGGCAGCGCGGGCUUCGGCCUGGCGGCGAGUGGCGAACGGGUGAGUAAUGCAUCGGAACGUGCCCAGUAGUGGGGGAUAGCCCGGCGAAAGCCGGAUUAAUACCGCAUACGACCUGAGGGUGAAAGCGGGGGACCGAAAGGCCUCGCGCUAUUGGAGCGGCCGAUGUCGGAUUAGCUAGUUGGUGGGGUAAAGGCUUACCAAGGCGACGAUCCGUAGCUGGUCUGAGAGGACGACCAGCCACACUGGGACUGAGACACGGCCCAGACUCCUACGGGAGGCAGCAGUGGGGAAUUUUGGACAAUGGGGGCAACCCUGAUCCAGCCAUGCCGCGUGCGGGAAGAAGGCCUUCGGGUUGUAAACCGCUUUUGUUCGGGAAGAAAUCCUCUGGGCUAAUACCCCGGGGGGAUGACGGUACCGGAAGAAUAAGCACCGGCUAACUACGU